rnacentral:rRNA from 1 species
GCAGUCGAGCGAAAGAUAAGGAGCUUGCUCCUUUGAAGUUAGCGGCGGACGGGUGAGUAACACGUGGGUAACCUACCUAUAAGACUGGAAUAACUUCGGGAAACCGGAGCUAAUGCCGGAUAACAUAUAGAACCGCAUGGUUCUAUAGUGAAAGAUGGUUUUGCUAUCACUUAUAGAUGGACCCGCGCCGUAUUAGCUAGUUGGUAAGGUAAUGGCUUACCAAGGCGACGAUACGUAGCCGACCUGAGAGGGUGAUCGGCCACACUGGAACUGAGACACGGUCCAGACUCCUACGGGAGGCAGCAGUAGGGAAUCUUCCGCAAUGGGCGAAAGCCUGACGGAGCAACGCCGCGUGAGUGAUGAAGGUUUUCGGAUCGUAAAACUCUGUUAUUAGGGAAGAACAAAUGCGUAAGUAACUGUGCGCAUCUUGACGGUACCUAAUCAGAAAGCCACGGCUAACUACGUGCCAGCAGCCGCGGUAAUACGUAGGUGGCAAGCGUUAUCCGGAAUUAUUGGGCGUANAGCGCGCGUAGGCGGUUUCUUAAGUCUGAUGUGAAAGCCCACGGCUCAACCGUGGAGGGUCAUU